CCUACGGGAGGCAGCAGUAGGGAAUUUUCGGCAAUGGGGGGAACCCUGACCGAGCAACGCCGCGUGAACGAAGAAGUUAUUCGUAAUGUAAAGUUCUUUUAACAGGGAAGAAAGAGAAAUUUGACGGUACCUGAAGAAUAAGCUCCGGCUAACUACGUGCCCGCAGCCGCGGUAAUACGUAGGGAGCGAGCGUUAUCCGGAAUUAUUGGUCGAAAGGGGUGCGUAGAUGGCAUAGUAAGUCUUUUGUAAAAAUGCUGGGCUCAACCCAGUAGGGCAAAAGAUACUGCAAAGCUAGAGUAUGACAGAGGCAAGUGGAACUACAUGUGUAGCGGUAAAAUGCGUAAAUAUAUGUAAGAACACCAGUGGCGAAGGCGGCUUGCUGGGUCGAUACUGACAUUGAGGCACGAAAGCGUGGGGAGCAAACAGGAUUAGAUACCCUGGUAGUC
rnacentral:rRNA from 1 species